rnacentral:rRNA from 1 species
GACGAACGCUGGCGGCGUGCCUAACACAUGCAAGUCGAGCGAUGAAAUCCCUUCGGGGAUGGAUUAGCGGCGGACGGGUGAGUAACACGUGGGUAACCUGCCUCAAAGUGGGGGAUAGCCUUCCGAAAGGAAGAUUAAUACCGCAUAAUAUUAGAUUUUCGCAUGAAGAACUAAUUAAAGAAGUAAUUCGCUUUGAGAUGGACCCGCGGCGCAUUAGCUAGUUGGUGAGGUAAUGGCUCACCAAGGCGACGAUGCGUAGCCGACCUGAGAGGGUGAUCGGCCACAUUGGAACUGGGACACGGUCCAGACUCCUACGGGAGGCAGCAGUGGGGAAUAUUGCACAAUGGGGGAAACCCUGAUGCAGCAACGCCGCGUGAGUGAUGAAGGUCUUCGGAUUGUAAAGCUCUGUCUUUUGGGACGAUAAUGACGGUACCAAAGGAGGAAGCCACGGCUAACUACGUGCCAGCCGCCGCGGUAAGAC